rnacentral:rRNA from 1 species
ACCCGCACAAGCGGUGGAUGAUGUGGUUUAAUUCGAUGCAACGCGAAAACCCUUACCCACCUUUGACAUGUACGGAAUCCUUUAGAGAUAGAGGAGUGCUCGAAAGAGAGCCGUAACACAGGUGCUGCAUGGCUGUCGUCAGCUCGUGUCGUGAGAUGUUGGGUUAAGUCCCGCAACGAGCGCAACCCUUGUCAUUAGUUGCCAUCAUUUGGUUGGGCACUCUAAUGAGACUGCCGGUGACAAACCGGAGGAAGGUGGGAUGACGUCAAGUCCUCAUGGCCCUUAUGGGUAGGGCUUCACACGUCAUACAAUGGUCGGUACAGAGGGUUGCCAACCCGCGAGGGGGAGCUAAUCCCACAAAGCCGAUCGUAGUCCGGAUCGCAGUCUGCAACUCGACUGCGUGAAGUCGGAAUCGCUAGUAAUCGUGGAUCAGCAUGUCACGGUGAAUACGUUCCCGGGUCUU